GGGGCGUGUGCUAAAUGGUGCCGAGACAGACAUGUGGUGGGGGCUGAGGGGGAUACUGAGGCAACCGAGGCAAGGGAGACCCCCCAGGGGGGUCUCUGCAGUAAUCCAGGAGGCGGGGCCGAGGCCUGAGACCAGUGGAGGACAGGGACGGUGGACAUCUGGUGGCCCCAGCAGAUGUUCUGUAGAAGGCUCCUUCGGGCUCUCGGUCACCAUGAGGAACAGAAAUUAUCAUCGGCGCCAAACCGCCCCGUCUGAAUCAGAACCACCAUGGUUGGGAGCCUCGAUAUGGGAAAUGUACCAAGGCCCCCGGAUCUUUGGGCGACACAGAACUUAGAAGCCAUAUGGCAGGCAGCUAAUAAUGUGGUUUGCAGAACAAUGUACCUGGCUUCCCCUGGAGCACAGUGAGCGCUCAGCCCCGCCCACUGGGUCUCCCAGUUCUCUCCCUCCUCUGCCUCCCCCGUCCGUCCGUGGGCCUCCGUUUCUUCUCUUCCUCCCCUUCAACGCCUUCUUCCUUCCCUGCCUCACCGACUGCUUUCUUUCCCUCCUGCCUAUCUCAGGGUGCCUGCUUCAUCCACCUUCUCCCCCACGGAGCUCAUAGAUUCAAA